rnacentral:rRNA from 1 species
UACGUAGGGUGCGAGCGUUAAUCGGAAUUACUGGGCGUAAAGCGUGCGCAGGCGGUUCGCUGUGUCCGAUGUGAAAGCCCCGGGCUUAACCUGGGAAUGGCAUUGGAAACUGGCGGGCUUGAGUGCGGCAGAGGGGGGUGGAAUUCCGCGUGUAGCAGUGAAAUGCGCAGAUAUCAGGAAGAACACCCGUGGCGAAGGCGGCUCUCUGGGACGGUACUGACGCUGAGGCGCGAAAGCUAGGGGAGCAAACGGG